rnacentral:sRNA from 1 species
UAGGAUCGACGUGGGCUGAAAAGCGUUGUUUUUGCCCGGGCUGAAAACCCCGUAAAACUGUUCACAACUCAUAAGUGCAAACGAUAACGACGCACUCGCUCUCGCAGCGUAAUCUGACGGCCUAGCGGCCUGAUCUUACAAAGCUACAGCGCGGUUGGACCCACCGGGCAACAGAAG